GUGCAGUGCUAAUGGCAGUACAUUUUGGGUUAGGGUAAUGGAUGUCUGACCAAAGAAAUUAUUGUUGUACUAAUGUCAGUACUAAUGGCGGUUUGUGUGCAGUGCUAAUGGAAGUACGAUGGAUGAUAGACUACACAAAUUAUUGUUGUGUGUGUGAUGGAUGAUACCACUUGCUUUUCAUAACAUAAAAGAUAUACAUUCAAUUUUAGGAUUGACGAGGCCAUGUCCGCCUCGGCUUUCUGGGAUCUUGAACAAUGGAAUGACGAUACACACUGAAAUGGCAUACAGAAAUCUGAAUGCUCACACUUGCUACUUGCUAGAGCUGAUACUAGGCUUAUUUUCAUUAUGCCACUUGCUACUUGUAGUUGUCAUGGGUGCCCGUUGAAAUAAGUUGUUUUUGUUAACAUGAUAUUGGUUAAUUAAUUUUACAGACCUCUUAUUGGAAUUGGGGCUGCAACUAAAGUAGCAAACACGACUACGUUAGAAGGGUGAGAAUUAGUGGGAGCAGGGUAUGGAUGAGGAAGGAGCACCAGUAUCUUCAAUGUUGCUGCUGUUUCGUUUCCAUCCCUCUCACGUGUGAAGGUCAACCUCCUGGGAUACACGAAGUUUCAGUUCGUCGAGAGGCUUCCCGGAGCUUCAAAACAUUUCACUUCAACUUUUUAGGCUUUUUCAGUACAUCUUACAAAGUGUGUAAGCUCCCUGGAGUAGCGCCUUCGAGGCUUGCCCUGCUCCAGCAGUCGUCAUCGUGAGGAUUAGCCACCGUCUAUUUGGCGCGGGACCUACCUGCGAUGGUCCCAUCUAUUGUGAGGUACAUCCUUUUUGAAUCUCUCCUCUCCGGCUCCGCAUGGUGAAGAUCUCCGUGUCUACCAUUUGUACUGUCAAUUUAUUUUGAAUUGAACUGGUGUUGCACUUGAUUCAGAUCUGAGG